UACAGAGGGGGCAAGCGUUGUUCGGAAUUACUGGGCGUAAAGGGCGCGUAGGCGGCCUGUUAAGUCCGACGUGAAAUCCCUCGGCUCAACCGGGGAACUGCGUCCGAUACUGGCGGGCUUGAAUUCGGGAGAGGGAUGUGGAAUUCCAGGUGUAGCGGUGAAAUGCGUAGAUAUCUGGAGGAACACCGGUGGCGAAGGCGGCAUCCUGGACCGACAUUGACGCUGAGGCGCGAAAGCCAGGGGAGCAAACGGG
rnacentral:rRNA from 1 species